GUCGAACGAUGAAGUGGAGCUUGCUCCACGGAUUAGUGGCGAACGGGUGAGGAACACGUAGGGACCUGCCCAGAAGUGGGGGACAACUCUCCGAAAGGGGAGCUAAUACCGCAUACGGUCUACGGACCAAAGCAGCAAUGCGCUUCUGGAGGGUCCUGCGGUGGAUUAGCUUGUUGGUGGGGUAACGGCCUACCAAGGCGACGAUCCAUAGCUGGUCUGAGAGGAUGAUCAGCCACACUGGGACUGAGACACGGCCCAGACUCC
rnacentral:rRNA from 1 species